GUCUGCGUAGCCCAAUUGGCAGGAGGCAAUGGUCUUAAACACCAUCCAGUGGAGGUUCGAGUCCUCUCGCAGACA
rnacentral:tRNA from 1 species